UGCCUUCUCUAGUUAUUCAUGCAGGCAAAAGAAAUUUCCCAAGACGAACAGCUCAGUAACUCUUAUUUGAUUUGAUGUAUUAGGAUUCUAACUAUGUUAAAUUAUAGGUAACAAUAAUACAAUAAGAAUAAGAUCUAUCAGUUAGUUGUUAAGGUAAUGGCUUAACAAGACUAUGACGGAUAACGGUAUUACUUUGUAAUAUUCCGGAAGAAGGAGCCUGAGAGAUUGCUACUAAGUCUAAGGAUUGCAGCAGGGGCGAACUUGACCUAUGAUAUUAUAUUGAGGCAGUUAUGAGUAGUAUUUUAUAAUUAUUGUAGUAUUGUAAGUACAUAUUACAAGAUAAAUCGGAGGGCAAAUCGAGUGCCAGCAGCCGCGGUAAUACUUGUUCCGAUAGUGUGUAUGAUGAUUGGAUGCAGUUAAAAAGUCUGUAGUUUAUUUAUAAAAAAGCAUUGGAACGGAUACUGGUAUGGGUUAGGAAAAGAGAUGAAAUGGGAAUAACCCCUACAUGGGAGGAGCCUGUAUACUUAAAAUUUAUUAUUUAGAACUAAGGACGUAAGCUAAGAGGGUUCGAAGAUGAUUUAGAUACCCAUUGUAGUUCUAGCCAGUAAAACUUAUGUGAAUUCAUAGAUAUAUUUUGAUAUAAUAUUUAUGUAGAGAAAAUUAAGAUUAUAUUGACUCUGGGGAUAGUAUGAUCCCAAGAUUGAAAAUUAAAGAAAUUGACGGAAGAAUACCCCCAAGGAGUGGAUUGUGCGGCCUUAAUUUGACUCCAACCCCGGGGUAAUUUACCCAGGUAUAACCAUGGUAUAAUAUUUUAUCAUGAUAGUGGUGCAUGGCCGUUUCCCAAUGGAUGCUGUGAAGUAAUGAUUAAUUUCAACAAGAUGUGAGACCCUCAUUUAGACAGAUGUAGUGAUACAUAUGAAGGAGAGGAUUAAAACAGGUUCCGUUAUGCCCUAAGAUAAUCUGGGUUGCACGCGCAAUACAAUAAUAUUUGAUAUUAUAAGGGAUAAUAUAAUGUAAGAUAUAUUUGAACAUGGAAUUGCUAGUAAAUUUUAUUUAAUAAGUAGAAUUGAAUGAGUCCCUGUUCUUUGUACACACCGCCCGUCGCUAUCUAAGAUGGGGGAACUAUGAUCUUCUUUUAAAGAAUGAAAGACAGUCUGAU
rnacentral:rRNA from 1 species